rnacentral:rRNA from 1 species
AUGGUGUGUAUGAAGAAAGAAUUUGGAGGCUUGGGAAUCCCAAACCUCCAAGAUGUCAACUUGUGUUUACUAGGUUCCUGGGUGAAGAGAUACUAUGAGAGUGAAGGAAAACCAUGGAAAAUGAUCUUUGAUCACAAGUACAUGUCUGGUAAGAUUAAUAUUUUUGCUCCUAACCUAUCCCCCAGUGCCUCCAGAUUCUGGAAGGGGCUGAAAACCAUUAUCCAAGCACUAAAACUUGGUUAUAGGUGGAAAGUUGGGUCGGGUGAAAAAGUUAGGUUUUGGGAAGACACCUGGUUUGGUACCUCCCCACUGGCAGUGCAAUUCUGGCCUAUCUACUCAAUUUGUAAUGAACAAACCAAUAGUGUCAGGGAAGUUUGGGAUGGUACGCAACUUAGGCUUACUUUUAGAAGGAAUUUUGAUGAUAGACUCAUGGAACAAUGGUAUCAGUUAGUGGAGAUAACCAGUAGUCUGACCCUUACCAAUGAAACUGAUGCCCUUGUCUGGCAGUUAGAGAACAGGGGGGUUUACUCCACUAGCUCACUUUACCAUGUGAUUAAUUUUAGGGGGGUGCAACCAGUCUUUAUACCUUCGGUGUGGAAGCUAAAAAUUCCACCAAAAUCCAUGUCUUCCUGUGGCUCCUUGCCAACAACAAGCUAA